rnacentral:rRNA from 1 species
AGGAAUACAUCGGAAUCUGCCUUGUUGUGGGGAUAACGUAGGGAAACUUACGCUAAUACCGCAUAAGACCGUAAGGUGAAAGCGGGGGAUCGAAAGACCUCGCGCGACAAGAUGAGCCGAUGUCGGAUUAGCUAGUUGGCGGGGUAAUGGCCCACCAAGGCGACGAUCCGUAGCUGGUCUGAGAGGAUGAUCAGCCACACUGGAACUGAGACACGGUCCAG